rnacentral:rRNA from 1 species
UACAGGGGGUGCAAACGUUGCUCGGAAUCAUUGGGCGUAAAGCGCACGUAGGCGGAUUGCUAAGUCAGGGGUGAAAUCCUGGAGCUCAACUCCAGAACUGCCUUUGAUACUGGCGACCUUGAGUCCGGGAGAGGUGAGUGGAACUGCGAGUGUAGAGGUGAAAUUCGUAGAUAUUCGCAAGAACACCAGUGGCGAAGGCGGCUCACUGGCCCGGUACUGACGCUGAGGUGCGAAAGCGUGGGGAGCAAACAGG